rnacentral:rRNA from 1 species
GACGAACGCUGGCGGCGUGCUUAACACAUGCAAGUCGAACGGAAAGGCCUUUUCGGAGGUACUCGAGUGGCGCACGGGUGAGUAACACGUGGGUGAUCUGCCCUGCACUCUGGGAUAAGCCUGGGAAACUGGGUCUAAUACCGGAUAGGACCGCACUUUAGUGUGUGUGGUGGAAAGUUUUUUCGGUGUAGGAUGAGCCCGCGGCCUAUCAGCUUGUUGGUGGGGUAAUGGCCUACCAAGGCGGCGACGGGUAGCCGGACUGAGAGGUUGGUCGGCCACAUUGGGACUGAGAUACGGCCCAGACUCCUACGGGAGGCAGCAGUGGGGAAUAUUGCACAAUGGGCGCAAGCCUGAUGCAGCGACGCCGCGUGGGGGAUGACGGCCUUCGGGUUGUAAACUCCUUUCGCCAGGGACGAAGCGUUUUGUGACGGUACCUGGAGAAGAAGCACCGGCUAACUACGU